GAUGAACGCUGGCGGCGUGCCUAAUACAUGCCAGUCGAGCGAACGGACGAGAAGCUUGCUUCUCUGAUGUUAGCGGCGGACGGGUGAGUAACACGUGGAUAACCUACCUAUAAGACUGGGAUAACUUCGGGAAACCGGAGCUAAUACCGGAUGAUAUUUUGAACCGCAUGGUUCAAAAGUGAAAGACGGUCUUGCUGUCACUUAUAGAUGGAUCCGCGCUGCAUUAGCUAGUUGGUAAGGUAAUGGCUUACCAAGGCAACGAUGCAUAGCCGACCUGAGAGGGUGAUCGGCCACAUUGGAACUGAGACACGGUCCAGACUCCUACGGGAGGCAGCAGUAGGGAAUCUUCCGCAAUGGGCGAAAGCCUGACGGAGCAACGCCGCGUGAGUGAUGAAGGUCUUCGGAUCGUAAAACUCUGUUAUUAGGGAAGAACAUAUGUGUAAGUAACUGUGCACAUCUUGACGGUACCUAAUCAGAAAGCCACGGCUAACUACGUG
rnacentral:rRNA from 1 species